AUUGAACGCUGGCGGCAUGCUUUACACAUGCAAGUCGAACGGCAGCACGGGUGCUUGCACCUGGUGGCGAGUGGCGAACGGGUGAGUAAUAUAUCGGAACGUAUCCAAUAAUGGGGGAUAACUAGCCGAAAGGUUAGCUAAUACCGCAUACGCCCUGAGGGGGAAAGCUGGGGAUCGUAAGACCUAGCGUUGAUGGAGCGGCCGAUAUCUGAUUAGCUAGUUGGUGGGGUAAGAGCCUACCAAGGCGACGAUCAGUAGCUGGUCUGAGAGGACGACCAGCCACACUGGAACUGAGACACGGUCCAGACUCCUACGGGAGGCAGCAGUGGGGAAUUUUGGACAAUGGGGGCAACCCUGAUCCAGCCAUUCCGCGUGAGUGAAGAAGGCCUUCGGGUUGUAAAGCUCUUUCGCUAGGGAAGAAAACUCGAUCUCUAAUAUAGGUUGAGGCUGACGGUACCUUGAUAAGAAGCACCGGCUAACUACGUGCCAGCAGCCGCCGUAA
rnacentral:rRNA from 1 species